UACGUAGGUGGCAAGCGUUGUCCGGAUUUACUGGGUGUAAAGGGCGUGCAGCCGGGCUGACAAGUCAGAUGUGAAAUCCCGCGGCUCAACCGCGGAACUGCAUUUGAAACUGUCAGUCUUGAGUACCGGAGAGGUCAUCGGAAUUCCUUGUGUAGCGGUGAAAUGCGUAGCUAUAAGGAAGAACACCAGUGGCGAAGGCGGAUGACUGGACGGCAACUGACGGUGAGGCGCGAAAGCGUGGGGAGCAAACAGG
rnacentral:rRNA from 1 species